rnacentral:rRNA from 1 species
UACGUAGGGUGCAAGCGUUAAUCGGAAUUACUGGGCGUAAAGCGCGCGUAGGCGGCUUUGUAAGUUAGAGGUGAAAGCCCGGAGCUCAACUCCGGAACUGCCUUUAAGACUGCAUCGCUAGAACGUCGGAGAGGUAAGUGGAAUUCCGAGUGUAGAGGUGAAAUUCGUAGAUAUUCGGAAGAACACCAGUGGCGAAGGUGACUUACUGGACGACUGUUGACGCUGAGGUGCGAAAGCGUGGGGAGCAAACAGG